UCCGUUAAACUUCUGGCUGGUCUGCUGUUCUGCUUGUCUCUACUAGGAUCAUGGAGCUACCAUCCCUAUUAAUGGUUUGCCCAAGAUGUGCUUAUCUCUGAAGAAUCUACAAACCUUCAUAGCACCAGGACACUAUUGCCUUUGACUUUGAAGAUAAAGGGCAAAGGACAUGAAGAAGUCUUUCUCUGGGGCUUGAGCAGCGUUUUCCACCUGGAUCCUUUGUGCCUUCAUCAUCCUUUAUGUAACCUUUUGCUGGGAGAAUAUUCUAGCUAAAAAAACAGGUCUCUGAAAAGAAGCAAACUAAUUACAUAGUCUCUUUUAUGCUUGUGGCAUGGAAUCAUAAAUAGAAUUACACACCACACCGCUCUGAACGUUUGGUUUCCUCUCUGCCUUGCAGGCUAGGAGCUAAUUCUUACCUGUUGGAUCCACCUGCU
rnacentral:lncRNA from 1 species